UAGUCCACGCCGUAAACGAUGAUGACUAGCUGUCGGGGCGCUUAGCGUUUCGGUGGCGCAGCUAACGCGUUAAGUCAUCCGCCUGGGGAGUACGGCCGCAAGGUUAAAACUCAAAGAAAUUGACGGGGACCCGCACAAGUAGCGGAGCAUGUGGUUUAAUUCGAAGCAACGCGAAGAACCUUACCUAGGCUUGACAUCCUUCUGACCGAGGACUAAUCUCCUCUUUCCCUCCGGGGACAGAAGUGAC
rnacentral:rRNA from 1 species